UAAUGUAGUGGGGAAGAAAACGGGAAGGAAUGAAUUAUAGAUGAGUUUGUGGAAAAGAAUCAGUCACGCAUUCGGAGACAGCUGCACCAGAGGACGCUAAGAGAACUGAGCAGGCAGGGUAGAGCACGCACUUCGACGCAGAUCCUUUCCGGCGGCGGUCCGAGUAGAUCAUACGUUGUGUUGCGAGUGUUAGCGUGUGUUUGCGUGUGCUUUCGAAUGAGCAAGUCUUCGCUAUUCUCCUCAUCGUGGCCUACUCAUCUAUUUGGUAAGUACCAUGUACAGCUCAUCGCGGGACAGCGUGGGACAGCGCUGGAGCACCUCGUCGAUCAAGAUAAGGAGAGUUCUGUUCCUAGGACGUUAGGGUGAUAGGAUGUUAGGCUGCUAGGCUACUAACCCCCUUUGCCUUUCAGAUACAUCACAAUAAUGCCUCCUGUAGAUUAUUCCACAGCUUGACCAAGAGUAGGAGGCGACACCAGCGGCGGAGUGAAGAAACUGGACUAAAAUAGAGGCGUGCAGAAGUGAAGAGGUCGCAAAGGAGGCCAGUUUGUAGUUGCGUUAUGAAGGAGUUGUCUUGGGGAGAUUGCAAGAAAGAAGUGACGCUCUGUGCCUGAGUAGUGAUGGGCCAAUCGAUACUUUCAAAUAGCAGCAAAAAUAAAGAUACUGAUGUUCAGGAGAUGGAAACUGCCACACCACAAUGCAUUCUGCGGAAGGAAACCAUGGAUAAAGGUGAGACGCGAUUCUUACAGGUGCUUUAAUUAUCAUCUUCCCCAACAGGUGUUAAUUAACUUUCCUUUCCCUACAGGUGCUAAUUAAUUUUUUCCCCUACAGCUGCUAACUUUCUUCCCCUACAGGUGCUAAUUGAUUUCCUUCCCCUACAGCUGCUAACUUUCUUUCCAUACAGGUGCUAAUUAAUUUCCUUCCCCUACAGCUGCUAACUUUCUUUCCCUACAGGUGCUAAUUAAUUUCCUUCCCCUACAGCUGCUAACUUUCUUCCCCUACAGGUGCUAAUUGAUUUCCUUCCC
rnacentral:lncRNA from 1 species